UACGGAGGGUGCAAGCGUUAAUCGGAAUCACUGGGCUUAAAGGGCGCGUAGGCGGGCUGCCAAGUUUGGGGUGAAAUCCUCCGGCUCAACCGGAGCAGUGCCUCGAAUACUGGCGGUCUCGAGGGAGGUAGGGGCGUGCGGAACUGUGGGUGGAGCGGUGAAAUGCGUUGAUAUCCACAGGAACUCCGGUGGCGAAGGCGGCACGCUGGACCUUUUCUGACGCUGAGGCGCGAAAGCCAGGGGAGCGAACGGG
rnacentral:rRNA from 1 species